UACGAAGGGGGCUAGCGUUGCUCGGAAUCACUGGGCGUAAAGCGCACGUAGGCGGCUUCUUAAGUCAGGGGUGAAAUCCUGGAGCUCAACUCCAGAACUGCCUUUGAUACUGAGGAGCUUGAGUCCGGGAGAGGUGAGUGGAAUUCCGAGUGUAGAGGUGAAAUUCGUAGAUAUUCGGAGGAACACCAGUGGCGAAGGCGGCUCACUGGUCCAUUACUGACGCUGAGGUGCGAAAGCGUGGGGAGCAAACAGG
rnacentral:rRNA from 1 species